rnacentral:rRNA from 1 species
GGUGAGUAACACGUGGAUAACCUACCUAUAAGACUGGGAUAACUUCGGGAAACCGGAGCUAAUACCGGAUAAUAUUUUGAACCGCAUGGUUCAAAAGUGAAAGACGGUCUUGCUGUCGCUUAUAGAUGGAUCCGCGCUGCAUUAGCUAGUUGGUAAGGUAACGGCUUACCAAGGCAACGAUGCAUAGCCGACCUGAGAGGGUGAUCGACCACACUGGAACUGAGACACGGUCCAG